rnacentral:rRNA from 1 species
CGUAGGUGAACCUGCGGAGGGAUCAUUGCUGGAACGCGCCCCAGGCGCACCCAGAAACCCUUUGUGAACUUAUACCUUUUGUUGCCUCGGCGCAUGCUGGUCUCUAGUAGGCCCCUCACCCCGGUGAGGAGACGGCACGCCGGCGGCCAAGUUAACUCUUGUUUUUACACUGAAACUCUGAGAAAAAACACAAAUGAAUCAAAACUUUCAACAACGGAUCUCUUGGUUCUGGCAUCGAUGAAGAACGCAGCGAAAUGCGAUAAGUAAUGUGAAUUGCAGAAUUCAGUGAAUCAUCGAAUCUUUGAACGCACAUUGCGCCCUCUGGUAUUCCGGAGGGCAUGCCUGUUCGAGCGUCAUUUCAACCCUCAAGCAUUGCUUGGUGCUGGGGCACUGCUUUUAACGAAGCAGGCCCUGAAAUCUAGUGGCGAGCUCGCCAGGACCCCGAGCGCAGUAGUUAAACCCUCGCUCUGGAAGGCCCUGGCGGUGCCCUGCCGUUAAACCCCCAACUUUUGAAAAUUUGACCUCGGAUCAGGUAGGAAUACCCGCUGAACUUAAGCAUAUCAAUAAGCGGAGG